ACACACACACACACACACACACACACACACACACACACACACACACACACACACACACACACACACACACACACACACACACACACCCACACUCACACACACACACACACACACACACACAUACACACACACACACACACACACACACACACAUACACACACACACACACACACACACACACACACGUUCCUGCUUAGUUGACUCAAAUGCCAGUCAUGGUCAGCCGUGUUCCCCCUGUCCCAAUGUCAGUCAUUUAACAUGGUGAGCAAGGCAACUCCCUGAAGAACCCAAUAAUCUUCAGAUGUGCCUGGCCGCAUAGGCAGUGCCACACUAAGUACAUAAUUGGUCGAUUGACCGGUUGUUGACAGCACACCUGCCCGGUCCCCUGUCUUGUACAAAGGGCAUGCAUAGUGCCCUGCAGGGUGAACCUGUGGACAACAAGAGGGCAAACUGGUCAGUGAUUGGUCCAACAAAAAUGAAAGCGCACCCAUUCAAAAGCACCCACUCAAAAUGUGAUGCACAGAAGGGCUCGGCCUACCUCAGUUCCCUGCAUCGGGUUGAAGUGCACCACCGGCAGGGGUGCUUGCAUGACACCUGGUGCGCUGUCAUCAAGAUACCNNNNNNNNNNNNNNNNNNNNNNNNNNNNNNNNNNNNNNNNNNNNNNNNNNNNNNNNNNNNNNNNNNNNNNNNNNNNNNNNNNNNNNNNNNNNNNNNNNNNNNNNNNNNNNNNNNNNNNNNNNNNNNNNNNNNNNNNNNNNNNNNNNNNNNNNNNNNNNNNNNNNNNNNNNNUGUGUGUGUGUGUGUGUGUGUGUGUGUGUGUGUGCGUGCGCGUGCGUGCACAUUUGCUUGCAUCCGUGCACUUGUGCAUGUGUGCGUGCGCAUGCGUGCACAUUUGCUUGCAUUCGUGCACUUGUGCAUGUGUGCGUGUAAAUGUGUUUACCUGCAAGAGUAGGAUGCAUAUAGCAUACUCAAUCCCCCUGUUGCAGACCAAGGCUUGCAUUGCAUUGCAUUCUACUGAGAGACCUUGCAAGCACAUCUCCUGUCCUUGAUGCACCUGCUCAACAAAAAAAGUGACAAGGAAAGUGGCUGCCUUGCAGGCCACACACAGCUUGCCGCAUGCAUAUGAAGCCGCAUAUGAAGUUCAGGUGCGCAACACGUGACAUGCAUGUGCACACAACGCACAACACCAGCUCACCCGGGGCUGGUGCGCCUGCUGUGUUGGUGGUAGUUUCCGAACGCCAGGGUGUAACGGACGGUCGCCAUUGCGCGCCAUCUAGCCAUAGCCCAUCGAUGAGCACGCCAUCCUGCAGCAGUCACAGAAUUCACGCACAAACCUCUCCAUUGCACUUAGAUGAUGGUCAUAUCAAGCCCAUGUGGGGUAUGCUUUGAGGCCCCUCUGUUGCAUCAUGUGAGAAAGCCCUGUUGCAUCGUAUGAGCCCCCCCCCCCCCUUUGCAUUGUAUGAAGGUCCCCUAUUGCAUUCUGUGAGGCUGCCCUACUGCAUCAUGCGAGGCUGCGCUAUUGCAUCAUGUAAGGACCCCUGUUGCACUGUGUGAGGUCCCCCUUUUGAAUCUGUCCCCUUCCCAAUUGAAUCGUGUGAGGCUGCGCUAUUGCAUCAUGCGAGGCCCCCUCUUGCACCAUGUGAGGCUGCCCUACCGUAUCAUGUGAGGACCCCUGUUGCACUGUGUGAGGUCCCCCUUAAAAUUUUUUCCCUUCUUAAUUGAAUCAUGCAAGGCUGCCCUAUUGCAUCAUGUGAGGCCCCUUAUUGCACCAUGUGAGGCCCUCUUAUUUCAUCUUCUGAAGCCUCUGUUUUGCAUUUUGUGAGGCCCACUGUGGCAUCGUGUGAGGUCUUCUGUCGCAUCAUAUGAGGCCCCCCUAUUGCAUCAUGUAAGGCCCCACUGUUGCAUCAUGUGCACAUUUCCUCACGUGAGGGGCUCUAUUGCAUUAUGUGAGGCCCCCUAACACGUUAUAUCAAGCCCCCUUGCAUCAUGCAAGGCUUCCUGUUGCAUUAUGCGAGGCGCCCCUAUUGCACCAUGUGGGGCCUUUGGUUUUUUCAAAGCAACCACAAAAGGCGCCACGGGCGCAUGUACGAGGGAUGUGGCAGCAAACUCCUUUUCAAACACCCUACCUGAGGCGGCUUGGCCACUUCGCUCGCAUUCCACGCUUCCAUAACCGUAAAUCCGAAUCCCAGUGUAUCGAUGGGAAUGGAGUACUUGCGUGCAUGCAUCUGGAGCACCCCAGUCAUAAACCCCUGCAAGUGGAUUGGUGUUUAUGCAUGGCGUGCGUUAGUGAUGAUGAAAGUGUUAUGCCGUAUCAAAAACAUGAACAUGCUCUUUGCCAGGAGCAAAAAUUACAGUCAGGUAGGUAGCCAAAGCCUCCAUUUAUGCCUCCCUAAUGCAAAGGUUUGUGGAAAAGCUACAGCUUCAUCUGCUGGGUUAUGCCCUUCAUCAGCUGGGUUAUGCCAAGAUGUGAUGCGAACCUGAAACACCCUGGCUCUCAUAGCAGAGGAAGUACUGAUAGCAGACUGCAUGGACUUCUGCGCAGAGGAGCAGCCUAUUUCUACACGCAAGUGAAUGAAUCCUGGCGGGUAGCAAUCCUUGGAUUGCUGAUCGCUGAGGAAAAGCAAAGGUGUAGCUCAACGCACUUUCUCUGCACUUGCCUGUGGGAAAAAGAAGCCUGGCAGCCAAAAGCACUUGGGUACACCCUCUUGCAACCACUUGCGCAUAAAGGCCACGCGCGCAUGGUAGUCCUUGAACCAUGAAGCUAAGGGCUUGAGGGAUGGGUAGGCAACGCGUGUCCAUAAUUCUGGUACCUGCGUAUUGUUAGUUCCGAAACAGAAACAAGCAGGAGUGAAAAGAUCGGAAGGAGAGGGCAGACAGGCUGUUUUCCGGCCUAUCUUCUCGGAACCCCAAGGAUACUCCUGAUAAAACAUAUUGAAAUUUGCAAACAGGGCACAUGCAAAAUUAAGCACCAACCGCUUCGUGGGCGGCAAGUUCUCAAUUGUUCAUUUGUCUUGUCAGCAGACCCCAAGAUUUAUUGUUGGGGGUACUCAUUGGAGUAAUGAAAAAGAUUGGCAUUGCGACCUGGGCACCCAGUGCUAAAAGAAUUGAGGACAGGGAAGGACUGAGGACAAGUGUUCUGACAAAUGCCCUCCUACCGUGUCUCAGAGUUCCCUUCAAAAAAGCAGCAGCCCAUGCACCCACGCAAAGUGAAGGCCCACAAACAGUGCAGGAGCCAUGCAUGCAUGCAUGUGUGUGUGCAUGCACGNNNNNNNNNNNNNNNNNNNNNNNNNNNNNNNNNNNNNNNNNNNNNNNNNNNNNNNNNNNNNNNNNNNNNNNNNNNNNNNNNNNNNNNNNNNNNNNNNNNNNNNNNNNNNNNNNNNNNNNNNNNNNNNNNNNNNNNNNNNNNNNNNNNNNNNNNNNNNNNNNNNNNNNNNNNNNNNNNNNNNNNNNNNNNNNNNNNNNNNNNNNNNNNNNNNNNNNNNNNNNNNNNNNNNNNNNNNNNNNNNNNNNNNNNNNNNNNNNNNNNNNNNNNNNNNNNNNNNNNNNNNNNNNNNNNNNNNNNNNNNNNNNNNNNNNNNNNNNNNNNNNNNNNNNNNNNNNNNNNNNNNNNNNNNNNNNNNNNNNNNNNNNNNNNNNNNNNNNNNUGUGUGUGUGUGUGUGUGCGCGCGCGUGCGUGUGCACCAAAGGCAGACACACAGACAUACCUGGCUGAUAGUUACACUUUGACAAACUGCUUCCAGCUCAUCGCUCAUCACCACCAAGCCAAAACAAACACAAGGACAAACUACAAACAAAAGGAGAACAGGGAUACACCUCUGGUGGAUGGUCAUGCUUUGAUACAUUGCUUCCAGCUCAGCGCUCAUCACCACAAAGCCCUUGCUGGCUUGCUACACGACCGUUUGGAAGCUGCCAAUUCGGACACAGAAGCUGCAUCUGCUGUGGCGUAAACCAUCUAUUUCCGACCACCAAACCUCCAUCCUCCUGGAACACCCACUGCACCACAUUGGGUCAUUCUUGGGGGAACGUACCUGGUUGAUGGUCAUGCUUUGGUACAUUGCUUCCAGCUCAGCGCUCAUCACCACCAAGCCUUUGAUGGCUUUCUGGAGCUCCGCCAGGCUGCUGCCCAGGACACGGGUCAGACGAUUGAACCUAUGGGGCAGACAAACAUGGCAUGAGAAGCGUGAUUUCCUGAGGCGUGAGGAGUGUGGCAUGCUUAAAGAGAGUCGGAGGUCGUGGUCCUGCUUAGCCAACAUGUUGCGCCUGCAAAGCAUGCACCGUUUUUUAUGCAGGUGUGAUCCUGAUUUGACCAAAGCCUUGGUCAACCAGUUGCCCCUGCUCAGCAAAUGCACCGCUUAUUACCCAGAUCUGAUUCUGGUUUGACAGAAGUCUGCGCGUCAGGCUCCCUGGAAACCACCCACCAGCCACACUCAGGGUCCAGCAGCCUCAAGCCUUUGUAUCCCUCUCCUGCAUGCCUCUCUUGUCCAUACCUGACAUUGCACCAUGCUCCCUAACCCCAAAGCCAGCAAAGCCCAGUCCUUACCAGGCGGAUGCGCAUGUACUACCUGCCUAUCUGACCCUAGGUAACACGGCAAUCCAUGGACAAGCAGCAUUCCAGCCUCAGCUAAACCCCACCCACCACCCAGCCUGCAAAGACUCCAGGGACAAAGACUCCAGAGCAAUGACUCCAGGGCCUAAGACUCCAAAGCAAAGACUCCAAUGCAAAUCCAGAGUGAAAGACUCCAGGGCCACAAAGACUCCAAAGUAAGGACUUAAGGGCCAUGAAGACUCCAAAGUAAGGACAUACAGGACCAAAGACUCCAAUGUAAAGACUCCAGGGCCAAAGACUCCAAAGGAAAGACACCAGGGCCAAAGGCUCCGGAGCCAGGACCCCCAGGGCCAAAGACUCCAAAGCAAAGACUCCAGGGCCACAAAGACUUCAAAGUAUAGACAAAAACAGAACAAAAAACUCCAAUGCAAAGACUCCAGGGCCAAAGGUUUCAAAGCAAAGACCCCCAGAGCCAAAGACUCCAAGGCAAAGGCUCCAGAGCAGAGACUCCAGGGUCACGAAGACUCCAGGGCCUCACCUGUCCAUCUCCUGCCCCAGCACCACGCUCAGCGAGUUGAGCUGGCCCUCGGGAGUGCGGUCAAACAAGCCAGGCGCGCAGUCGGCGCGGUCCAGCAAGGGCGGCAGCUGUGCUUGCAUGCUGGCAGCCAACGAGGCCACUGUGUGAUCUGUGCUGCCCUGGCUGGAGCUGCCGCCACUCACACGCGGCUGCAAAGGCACCAGGUGUCACAGCGGGGCAUACGGUCAUGAGCACAAGCGCCACACACACUUGCAAGCGCUGUUGCACAGUGAACUGAAACCGAGGUGACUGAAGCGCUGUUUGAAAGUGAAUUGAAGUGGGCCAAGUGCUGCCGCAAAGCAACCAUGCAUGCCUUGAGGCAAUCUGCCACAGUUCACAGCUGCUGUGUCUUGAAGUUGCCAAUCAGCUAGUAUUUCAGGGGUCCCUGCCCUAUUCUCUGGCUUCUGUACACACAUGGACCACAGACAUGCCUGCCUGGACAUGCAACAUUUGGUCGUGCAAAUUGCAUGGCUUGAAUUUGCCCCAGCUCAUCCAUCGAUGCACGCAAAACAUGAAGCUCACAAUGCACACAAAAAGCACUAUGUUGCAGCACUUGUGGUGCACCAAGCACUUACCUGCAUCAAGGCAAUGGCGUCCACCAGGCGGCGCGUCUCACUCAUCUGGAAGCUGAUGUUUGCAUUGGGGUGCAUGCCGAACACCUCUGGAGCUUCAUGGGAAGGCAAGCUGGCAAGGUAUGCCUGGUAGGACUCAAGUGGGCCUGGGGGGUGGUUGUGGUAUUACAUACACUGAUGGUGGUGGUGAUGUUGCAUACACUCAAGUUGGCCUGGGUGGUGGUGGUGGUCUUAUAGCGACAACAAUGGAGUGAGGCUCUGAGCAAGCACGGGAGGAGUGGCUGCUUGGCAGCGAGCCAAGUUAGGCCAGAAAAAGUGUGUGGAACGCAAGAUGAUAGAGGAGGCAUGCAUCCUGUGCGCGGGAACACUGCACACCUCCGGAUGCAUGAAAAUAUGGGAAAUCCAAGCAUUUGUCACAAACAUGCAAAUUCACACCAUAGAAAUUCUCCAAUGGCCCAAGCACAUUGGCAGAGUGCAUACAAGGAAAUUGCCUGAAAAAAACAAAGAAGCGAUGCAAAUUUGAUAGGCAGGCAACUGAAUCACGUCAGCGCAUAGGGGGGGGGGGGGGGCGCCCCCCAGUACAGUUGCAUCAUGGAAACUCAUUUUCGCCAUUUGCUCUUCUAGGGGGGGAGACCCACGGCUCAGUCAGUGUGUCUCCCUUUUUAAGGAGACAAUUGAUGCAGGGAGGGUUUCUGUGCCUAAGGGGGCGGUCACUCACAAUUUUUUUCGGCUUUUUUUCUGUCAGUGUGAAAAAAAUUUUCACUUUGGGCGAAAAAAAUUGCGGUCACAUCAGGAGGGUUAAAAAAAGAAGUAGUGGACGUCAUGCCUAAAUUUUGGGCGGGACCCCCCUGACCCACCCCCCCACCCCAAAACCUCCCUUCCAGUGCUCCAAUCCAGACAAAUAGGGUAUCAAUCUGCUCCUUUUUCAAUUCCCCAUCCAUCUGCGUACUUUUAAUGCCCAACAAAUGAUUUGGUGCAGAGUUAUGGGGCAAAAACUGAGAUGCGGACGCUCAUGCGGGCAUGCCCUAUCAGGCACCCACAGCUGGCUUAAAAGUCCACAAACUGCAUUUCUAACUUCAAGAUGCUAGUGUGCAUGCUGUGUUGUCACUAUCCUAGGAGUUUGGAAUGAUUUGGAGCACCUUUGCACUAACACCCCUCUGACUGACACCAGUGCGCGCGUGACCUUGACACUCUGCCACACACACAGACCCCCCCUUUUAUUCAAUAUCCUCAAAGAGGGUGCCAAUGGACGGUUCUUGAGCUCAGGAUUCCAAAUAUGUAUUUAGAAUGUUGAGAAAGUGUCCCAGAAAAAUUCUGGAGGGGGGGUCCCAAAAAGUCGAAAGCCCCCUCAGACACCCACCCCUACCGACCUUCAUUGUUCGAACCCAUACAUAUACCAAUCGAUAGCUCUCAAUCCCAGGAUUCCGAAUAUGGGUGUCCCAAUCAGAUUGACCCUUGACGUCCAAAAGUUAUGCUUUCUGGGGCCUCCUGGUCACAUCCAAAAUUUUUUCCUUGGGCAGGAGGGUAAAAAAAAAAGGUAGUGGAACACCCGUCAAAAAACUGGGUGGGACCCCCUGACACCCCCCCCCCCCAAAACCCCCCUUCCAGUGCCCCAAUCCAAACAUUAAGGGUACCAAUCUGCUCCUCUUUUAAACCUGCRUCCAUCUGUAUACUCAGCGCAAUGAAAGGUUGAGUUAAAGCAGAGUUAUGGGGCAAAAACUGAGCAGGAGACGCCCAUGCAUACCURCCCUUCCAGGCACCCACAACUGGCUUGCAAAUUCACAAACAGCCCUCCUAACUUCACCAUGCAAUAAUGCAUCUUACAUUGUCUCUAUCCUGGAAGUUUGGAUUGGUUUGCUGCACCUUGGCGUUUACACCCCCUGCUACCCACACCCUUGCGCGCAUGGCACGGGCUCCCAGUCAUCCACACAGACCCACCCUUUUACCCAAUUUGCACAAAAAGAGUGCCAAUCGACAGUUCUUGAGCUCAGGAGUCCAGUGAUAUAUUUAAAAUUCUGUAGGAAUGAUUCAGUAAAAUUUUGGAGGGGGGGUCCCAAAAACUCGGAACCCCCCAUACCCCCCCACCCCCCCCGACCCCCUCCGAUUGGACUCAAAUAUAUGCCAAUCGAUAGCUGUCGAUCCCAGGAUUCCGAAUAUAUAGGUUUUAGCAGGGUGGACACGGGUAUUCCAAAAGUUAUGCUUCUUGCAGCCUCCUGCCUCGGGCAAAUUUUUUUGGCCCACCCAAAAAAUUUUUCGGUUCCAGCCAGAAGUCACUAGGGACCGUCUUUGGUUGGGGUCAGUUUUCAGUUACCGUUUGGGAGUUCCUCUUGGGAGUGCCCCUUCAAUGCAAGGUCCAAAAACACAAAAAUUUUCAUUUUUUUUCAACAUUCACAUAUUUGAUCUUUGAGGGUGGCGCCAUGCCUCCCAAGGGCAAGCAAGGGUCCAAUGGCAGGGGGAGGGGGGCAAGAGGUCAGCCCAGCAAGAAAGCACAGGUGCUCAGGCCAGAUSAGGACCAGCACAAGCCUAGCAGGGACCUGCAAAUGUCAGAGGCAGUGGUGGUAGGCAGCCAGUCUGGCGGCUCCUUGCAUGCGCUUACAGCCCAUGCAGCUGAUCAGUUGCAGCUUGAGCAGGAUCAGCAGCAGGUGAGCGAAGUCACACAUGCAGCCAAGAGGCCACUUCGCGCAGCAGCACCCAAGCCGGGAGCUCACGAGGGUUUGGAUGGGGAGCAACACCAGAAUUAACAUACUCUGGCUUAUUAUUUCAUCUAGAUUCAAAGCUGCCCUUGGGUAGGGUUAUUACGUUAUAAUCACCUUACCUCGCCUGGCUCUCUCUGGAGCCAGGCAAUUCUGAGGCAGGGUGAAUUGUUUACAAAUUUUGCUAAUGAAUAUAGAUUGGCCAGCCAUAAAUCUGUAAAUGAUUCAUUCAGAACUUCAUUCAAGUCCUAUGUUGAGCCUGUGGUGAACACAGCGCACAGGCAUGGCACAAACAAGCGUUGGAAUUGGUAAUUUUCUGUACCAAGAAUAAUGAAGAAUGGACCACCAGCAAAGUAUCUGUCCGAAAAGCCCCGAAUUUCCAACAAUCCCUCCAGUAAUGUAGUAUCCAUAAGGAAAUGCCCACACUCCAGCAAUGAAGUAUCCAUCAGGAAAUGCCAACACUCACAAGCAAACCAUGCGGCAUGAGCCCCUGUUAUCGGUCAACGUAUCCAACAGGUCCAUUCAAAAUGCCCUGGACAUCAGAGAGGCGUGGGCCAACCACAGGAUUAAGGUCAAGCACACGAGUCAUGUAUGAUGCAAGCUUGUCCCUGACUUGAUAGGCACUCGCAGCAUCAGGCCCGCUUCGCAUGAGCCCAGCUGCACCAAUGACAUGAGAGGCAACAAAGUCAUCAAUAUUCAGAUCAGAGGGGUURWACACGUCCYCAGUACUCUCAAUGAAAUUUUGCAGUGCACAUARAACUGUUGCAACAUUUGCAGCGAAGGUGGGGUUGARGAGCCUGCUGUUUUWGAGGAUUGGGAAACGCUUCUUGAGCCUGCCAAAUGCWYAUUCGACCACACGCCUCGUCCGGAUCAGAGCAUAAUUGAAAUUAAAUUGCUGCUUUGUGGGGUUUGGGGUCUCAUAACAUUUGAGUACAGAGGUGGAAAGAGCAAACGCUGAAUCAGCACAAAUGUAGGGCUUGAAAACAGUACCAUCUAUGGUCAUUUCCUCCAUGCGAGCAUUUGGCGGCAAGGAAAGCCAAGAACCAUCCUCAAUCUUUCUACGCAGAGCACUAAAAUUCCAUAUUUGUGCAUCAUCAACUUGACCUGCCCCUCCAGCGCUAACAAAUGUGAACUUGCCAUGAGCAUCAACACAAACGAAAAGAAUAACAGCCAUGUGCUUAUUGUAGCAAUAGUAGACAUCACCCCACUCAUACGGCUUCUCAAUCCUCAUGAAUGUUCCGUCUAUUGCACCAGCACAAAAAGGCAAAUUGCACAAGCCUCUGAAAUCUCGCAUGACGCGCAUGAGUUCCUGUUUUUCUGGAAAGACGAUUAUGUUUGGCACAAAUUCUUUGCACAGCACAAACACAACUUCAUGAAUUAUAUUGGUCACGGAAGGCUUACUAAUAUCAUAGGUCUGCGCAAGGUGGUAAUAUGGAGAAUCUGAGCCAGCCCAGUGCAAAAAAACUGCCAGCCUCUUCUCAACAGGGAUUGCACUCUGCAUACGUGUGUCUUGCUUUGCUGCGCUGUGGGGUCACUACCAUCCAGAACCAAGGUGAUGGCUGGUAUCACAACUUUCAAGGCCCAACUUGAGAAGCCUGACUGCUCAGUUACUAGCUCUGGCAUGAUGGCUGCCAGCCAUACAAGGAGGAGGGCAGCACUCAUGGUCCUUUCAAAGAAAGGACCUGCAAGAGACUGUCUGAAAGGGGCACUUUCACCGUGGCUAAGCACUGAAGAAAAAAAUAUGAAAAAAAUUUGCGUUUGACCGCUUGCAAAAUUUUUCCGUCGAGGGCGAAAAAAAUUUUCGGUGGACGCAGGAGGGUAAAAAAAAAAAUAGUGGACGUCAUCACAAAAAGUUGGGCUGGAGGCUGAAAAGGACCACCCACCCCCCCACCCCCCCUAAUACUUCUCCCCUCGGGCCAAAAAGGGUACCAAUCUGCUCCUUUUAAAAUUCCCUAUCCAUCUGCAUACUUAAGGGUGAAAGAUUGACUUGGAGCAGAGUUAUGGGGCAAAAACUGAGGAGCGGACGCCUAUGCAAGCCUGCCCUUCUGGGCUCCCACAACUGGCCUGCAAGUCCUCCAAAUAGCCUUCUGACUUUGCUGUGCAAGGAAUUAUUAUACAUUGCCACUACCAUGAAAGUUUGGAUUUGUUUGCUGCAUGCUUGCCUUCGCACCCCCCGCAACCCACAUCCAUGCCCAUGUGGCAUUGACUCCAUUCCAUGCACAGAGACCCCCCAAUUUGCCCAAUUUCCUCAAAGAGGGUGCCAAUGGACAGUUCUCAAGCUCAGGAUUCCGAAAAUAUAUUUAGAAUUUCGAGAAAGUGCCCCAGAAAAAUUCUGGAGGGGGGGUCCCAAAAACUCGAAACCCCCCUGAGGGACCACCCACCAACGACCCUCUCCGAUUGGACUCAUACAUAUAUCAUUCGAAUCCUCUCGAUCUCAGGAUUCCGAAUAUAUAUUUUUUUUGUGGUUUUGGUGAUGACGUCCAAAAGUUAUGCUCACUGGUGCCUCCUGGUGGACGGAAAAAAAUCGUGUGUGACCGCAAUUUUUUUCCAAUUUCUGACGGAAAAAAAUCCGAAAAAAACACUGAAAAAAAUUGUGUGUGACCGCAGCCUAAGUGGUUUGCUUUUCUCUUUUGACACACCAUCAGGGUCAUGGACACUCAUUUCUGACAUGACAUCAGGGCCAUAGGUACACGUGACAACAGGGCAUCAGGGCAUGACAUCAGGACGUGACAUCAGGACAUGACACCAGGGCAUGAGCACGCUCAUUUCUGACAUGAUACCAGGGCCAUGGGUACACAUGACAUCAGGGCAUCAGGACGUGACAUCAGGACAUGACACCAGGGCAUUAGGACACUCAUUUUUGACAUGACACCAGGGCAUGAGGACACUCAUUUCUGACAUGACACCAGGGCCAUGGGUACACAUGACAUCAGGGCAUSASRMCRKGRCAUCAGGACAUGACACCAGGGCAUWASRRCACUCAUUUUUGACAUGACACCAGGGCAUGAGGACACUCAUUUCUGACAUGACACCAGGGCCAUGGGUACACAUGACAUCAGGGCAUGACACCAGGGCAUUAGGACAUGACAUCAGGACGUGACAUCAGGGCCAUGGGUACACAUGACAUCAGGGCAUCAGGGCAUGACAUCAGGGCCAUGGGUACACAAUAUUGACGCACCAUCAGGGGGGAUGAAGUAACGGCCGCUUUGGGGCGUGAUCUUGAAGGAAUCAUCCAGUACGUGGGGCGCCAUGUACUGCCUCAGGAUGGACAUCAAACACCUGGGUGCAUGGCAAAACAGAAAAAGCGUUGAUAAGCAAGCGUUGACGUGCAAGCUCAGGAUGGACAUCAAACACCUGGGUGCAUAGCAAAACAGAGGAAGGGUUGAUGUGAAUCGUCGUCAAGAUGGACAAGUGCAGAUGUGAAUUGUUGUCAAGACGGACAAGCUGUUGUGAAUCGUUGCCAAGAUCGUUGUCAAGAUGGACAUCAAACACCUAGGUGCACAGCUAAACAGAGAAAGCAAUUGAUGUGCAAGCGUCGACGCGCAAGCGUUGGUGGGCCUUCUUGCAAAAGAUGGAAGACCUGCCUGCCCCUGGGGGUUGUUUAGCAAGUGACAAGGACAGCAGGCAGUACCCACAGGGUGUGGGGGGAAGGGAGCAGAGGGCCUUAUCGUGCUAGUUGCGGCUCAUCUGGAAACUCAACCACAUAUGGCACAGCUGAAACCAAGAACCGAGCUGUGAAAGACCUCCGGGAUGUUUUGGAACAGUGUUGGACACUGCAUUGCAGCACUGCAGCGCCUUCCAAGCUCAAGGUUCUGCAGCACAGGCUUGCAUACUGGAUGCCUGUAUGUAAUCAUGUACCACUUCGCAUAAGGUACGCCUCCACAACCCUCGCCACUUUGCACAAUGAAGGAUCCUGCUGCUGCUAUUCCUCGCUUGCACACAUAGGAAAGGCCUUCUCCUGUUUAGGUUUGAGAGCGCUUUAGUGAGACCCUGGCUCUGUUUAUGUUUGAGGGCCCUCUAGUCAGACCCCAGCUCUCUUGCUAGUUAAAGAGCCUUUCCUUAAUGUACGCAGCCGCGGGGACUCUUCUGUCUCCCCUUUCUCUUUCCGGAAGCCUUGCCCACAACACAAUAGACCCACAAUUGAACUCAGGACAGCCCUCUUCUCCACCACACAUUCUGCAUCCUUUGCUUCCAAUACACCUCAUCUAUCAGAGCACAACUGCUUCCAAUACACCUCAUCAAUCAGAGCACAACUGCUUCCAAUAAGCCUCAUCAAUGAGAGCAAAACUGCGGAGUGCCAGCGCACCUGCGGUCGAUGUCAUCCAUGACGCGGCCUCCAUAGUUGAUUUGGCCAAUGACGUACUCCAAGGCUGGCCACGGCACAGACUCCUGCCCAGAGCACAAUGCACAGAAGGAAGCUCAACAACUUUCCUGACAAAUGAGCAACCUCCAUAAGUGCCCUUUGUGACCACGUCGCUAUCUGGGCCAGUAAGGGAACUGCAUAGAUGAGGGUGGCCACAUCUAACCCAUUCUCUCUCAAACCAGCUGCCUCCUGAAAGCAGCUGAAUGCAGCUGUACAUCAUCACUCAGCUGUUUUAGGACUGAUCUCAUCCUGGCUGCAUUGCAACCACAGCCAAGCAGUGUAGUCAAUCAAUGUUGACAAUCAAUCACAGCCAAGUAGUGAUGCAGUAAAGCAGCAUCAUAUAGUCCUUCUUUAUUGGACAACAGAAUUUGCUUGGGAAACCUGAGCACUUUGGGCAAAAUCUAGGAUUUGCCAAAAUAAUACUUAUUCAAGUCAAUGCCACCUUUGCAGUCACAGCCAGUCCAUGGGCUACAAGCGAUUGUCCCAACCAAACACGUACGUUGAUCUAGGGCAUCAAUGCUUGCACCAUGCUUCAUUAACCUCAAACAUCCUUUAAGCAUAAUCAAAGCACAACAGAGCACGCAUGCAGCUAGCGUUGAUCUGCGGCAUCAAUGCUUGCACCAGGCUUCAUUAAUUUCAAACAUCCUUUAAGCAUAAUCAAAGCACAACAGAGCACGCAUGCAGCUAGCCUUGAUCUGCGGCAUCAAUGCUUGCACCAUGCUUCAGAAGUAUCUAACAACCUAAAGCAUGAUCAAAGCACAACAGAGCACGCAUGCAGCUACACCUGCCCUGACAACAAUGUGCGCAGAGUCACCAUGGAGCAUGCCAAACAUGAUCAAGCCACAGCAGCGCAUGAAGCCUCUCAAGCUUUCCAACAAAUAGGCAGAGACGCCAUCAAGCAUUCCAGCCAUCACAGAGCACUCCAAUCUGCCCUGACAAGAAAAUACAUGCAAAGAGGACGCACCUGCUCUGACAUAAAUGCGCAGAGGACACUCUCCUGCUCUGUUCUGACAAGAAUGUGCUCCAACAAGAAUGCGCUCCAACAAGAUUGCGCUCUGUCCAGAAUGUGCAGAGAACACUCACCUGCUCUGAUAAGAGCAUGCAUGCGUAGAGGGCACUCACCUGCUCUGACAAGAACAUGCGCAGCGUCAUCAUGGAGCACUCCAGGUCGCUCGUGUUGAACUCGUACUUUAUGUUCCAGCCCAGGGGCCCAAACUUGCGGCGCUCCUGCACAUCGAACACAAAAAUGGCGGAUUUUCCUGUAAGCAUUGUCCACACCUUUGUCACCAACUCAGGCAAGAGCAGAUGAUGUCCAAGCCCAAGGGCCUACACUUGCGGCGCUCAGCAAAUUCAGACAUAAAAAUAGUGCACCUUCCUAUAAGCAUCGUCCUUACAUUUGCCUCCAACUCAGGCAAGAGCAGGACGUUUUUGGGUCCUGUGCACACCUCCAUUUUGCAGUGAACACUUGUCACAUAAAAGUCAUUUCCCCCAGGAGACGGCAACCGGAGCAAGGCGGUGAGGAGCCUAGUUUAUGCACCAUCCUAGCUGCCAAAUUUGCUUCAGAUGUAGACUCCAAUACCUUUUUUUUGUUGCCUACAACAGACACUGCGCCGGGGCUAACGCACGGGCUGCAGGCAAAUGCAGUGCCCAAGCCUUUGGGCUUAGACAGCAAGCAACAUCUCAAGACCUGCACACAUGCAAACCGAAACUAGCUAACUCUCCAGCACAACCUCUCAGCCUGGCAGCCAGGUACCGUCCAGUCUCGUACACCUGGACAACCACAUGGGAGGAGGACAACGAGAAAAGCAGCUUGCCAUUCUGUGGGCUUUAAAAGGCAUGCAUCCUUGACCUACUCAGCCUGGAAGCCAGCUUAUGCCACGCCCUGUACGAUGAACAGCGCAGAGCGUGCAUAACUGUUGUGCCCUGCACUGUCAAGCCCCGCACUUUCACUGUCCAGCCCUGCACUGUCCAGCCCUGCACAGCCUCUGCACAACCUGCACUGUCAAUUCCGGCUCUGUCAUGCCCUGCACUGCCAUCUGCGCAACCUGCACUGCCAUGCCCUGCACACGGCAUGACCUCAUGGAAGAAGGACAACAAAAAGAGCAGCUUGCACGCGUGAGGCGACACUAGUUGCCUUCCCAGGUUCACAAGCUCUCAGCCUGCUACAUCAUCAAUCAAUGUUCUGCUCACCUGGAUGACUGCAUGGAAGAAGGACAACGAGAAAAGCAGCUUGCGCCAUUCCCGGGGCUUUGAAGGGCAUGCAUCCAUGACUGCCUGAUCCAUGGCAUUGUAGUUGCGCGCAACGUUGGCGCGCACACCCUUGGGCGGCUCAUUCGUGAGCUUGAUGCCGUUCUGUGUGAGAAGGCAAAACAUGUGUGCAGCUUGUGUGCAGAUGGUGAGUGCCUGGCAUCAACAAAUGUUGUGUGCGUCGAGCGCAAGCGUGUGUUGCAGUGCAUCAGACAGAGGGAGCAAUUUGGCACACCACAAGUAAGCCGGCUUGGAGUCAUUCCACAGAAAGCACGCAUUUUAAUUCUGCUCCUCCGGCUUUUCUCACAGGUAACCAACAUUUUCCAUUGAUACAUCCACCCACCCACCCAUGCGCGCGUGCAGACCAGUGCUGUGCCCUGACGCCUGACGGCGUCAGGCGUAACUUACGAUCCGUAACGUAAUUUAUGAUUUUUACCGUCAAAAACUAAAUCUUGACCGUAAAUGACGGUGAUUUUAUUUUUGACGUUGACGAUUGGACAUUUCCAUUUUUUACGGUAGAAAAUCGUCAGAAAUUACAUAAAUUAUAGGUGAUGGCUGCAAAUAUGCACAGCUCUGCAGGAACCUGUGUCCCUUCACUUCAAGUGCGUUUGUGAAAAAGUAUCUUGUUAUACCCACACAAAUCUCAGCAUGAAUCCAGGCAUGUUUACAUGUCCUGCCCUUCAUUUCUUCCCCUUCAGUCCAACAUUUCCUGAUCCUCCCCAUCCCUGGACUCAUCCUCCUCAUGAAACCCCUCCUCUUCAUCUCCUUGCUCUUCAUAAUCAUCCUCAUCCUCCUCCUCACCCCCCUCUGCAGGCCACUGGGUGGUGGGGGUGCAAGCAGCUGCUGUGGUUUUGCCAGGCUUUCCCCACCCAGAGCCACUCUGGCUCUCUUGUUCGUGUUCUUGCUAAUCCCAUGCCCAAGGUCUGAAAUCAUCUCCUUUCACAGCCUGUGUACUACAAGCGAUUCUUUUGACGUCCAGAAUCUGAUUACGGCAAUUUGAGUUCACUCGGAGGCCUGCAAGUGCACUCGCUCGGCCAAUGAGUCCACACUGUGGGUCACUUGAGUUCCUGACGGUUUGAGUUUUUCACACCGUUACUGACGCUUUCACACCGUCAGGAAAAGACCCACCGUAAAUUACGAUUACCUGACGCUGACGUCAAAAAUGCACCGUUAAUUACGGUGCCAAAUUUAUUUUACGGCGUCAAGGCACAGCACUGGUGCAGACACGAACACGCACACACACACACACACACACACACACACACACACACACACACACACACACACACACACACACACACACACACGCGCGCG
rnacentral:lncRNA from 1 species